GCUGGGCACUGUGGGGUACAUUUGUAAUCCUAGCUGCCUGGGAGGCUGAGGUGGGAGGAUCACUGGAGCCCAGGAGUUUGAGAUCAACCUGUGCAGCACAGCAAGGUCACAUCUCAA
rnacentral:sRNA from 1 species